CCUACGGGUGGCAGCAGUGGGGAAUAUUGCGCAAUGGGGGCAACCCUGAUGCAGCAACGCCGCGUGAGUGAAGAAGGAAUUCGGUAUGUAAAGCUCUAUCAUCAGGGAAGAAAAUGACGGUACCUGAGUAAGAAGCCCCAGCUAACUACGUGCCAGCAGCCGCGGUAAUACGUAGGGGGCAAGCGUUUUCCGGAUUUACUGGGUGUAAAGAGGGCGUAGACGGCAGUGCAAGACUGAUGUGAAAGGCGGGGGCUUAACCCCCGGACUGCUCUGGAAACUGUACGGCUGGAGUGCAGGAGAGGCAAGUGGAAUUCCUAGUGUAGCGGUGAAAUGCGUAGAUAUUAGGAGGAACACCAGUGGCGAAGGCGGCUUACUGGACUGUAACUGACGGUGAGGCGCGAAAGCGUGGGGAGCAAACAGGAUUAGAUACCCCAGUAGUC
rnacentral:rRNA from 1 species